rnacentral:rRNA from 1 species
CUCCUACGGGGCGCAGCAGUGAGGAAUAUUGGUCAAUGGGAGAGAUCCUGAACCAUCCAAUCCUCUUUAUUUACUACUUCCCUAUUGUUUGUAAACCUCUUUUUUCUGAUAACAAAACCCGGGACGUGUCCCGGACUGCGUGUAUCCGAAGAAAAAGCAUCGGCUAACUCCGCGCCAGCAGCCGCGGUAAUACGGAGGAUGCGAGCGUUAUCCGGAUUUAUUGGGUUUAAAGGGUGCGUAGGCGGUCCGUUAAGUCAGCGGUAAAAUUGCGGGGC